rnacentral:rRNA from 1 species
GGAGCAAACAGGAUUAGAUACCCUGGUAGUCCACGCUGUAAACGAUGUCGAUUUGAAGGUUGUUCCCUUGAGGAGUGGCUUUCGGAGCUAACGCGUUAAAUCGAUCGCCUGGGGAGUACGGCCGCAAGGUUAAAACUCAAAUGAAUUGACGGGGGCCCGCACAAGCGGUGGAGCAUGUGGUUUAAUUCGAUGCAACGCGAAGAACCUUACCUACUCUUGACAUCCAGAGAAUUUAGCAGAGAUGCUUUAGUGCCUUCGGGAACUCUGAGACAGGUGCUGCAUGGCUGUCGUCAGCUCGUGUUGUGAAAUGUUGGGUUAAGUCCCGCAACGAGCGCAACCCUUAUCCUUUGUUGCCAGCGAUUCGGUCGGGAACUCAAAGGAGACUGCCGGUGAUAAACCGGAGGAAGGUGGGGAUGACGUCAAGUCAUCAUGGCCCUUACGAGUAGGGCUACACACGUGCUACAAUGGCGUAUACAAAGAGAAGCGACCUCGCGAGAGCAAGCGGAACUCAUAAAGUACGUCGUAGUCCGGAUUGGAGUCUGCAACUCGACUCCAUGAAGUCGGAAUCGCUAGUAAUCGUAGAUCAGAAUGCUACGGUGAAUACGUUCCCGGGCCUUGUACACACCGCCCGUCACACCAUGGGAGUGGGCUGCAAAAGAAGUAGGUAGCUUAACCUUCGGGAGGGCGCUUACCACUUUGUGAUUCAUG